rnacentral:rRNA from 1 species
ACGAACGCUGGCGGCGUGCUUAACACAUGCAAGUCGAACGGAAAGGCCCUGCUUUUGUGGGGUGCUCGAGUGGCGAACGGGUGAGUAACACGUGAGUAACCUGCCCUUGACUUUGGGAUAACUUCAGGAAACUGGGGCUAAUACCGGAUAGGAGCUCCUGCUGCAUGGUGGGGGUUGGAAAGUUUCGGCGGUUGGGGAUGGACUCGCGGCUUAUCAGCUUGUUGGUGGGGUAGUGGCUUACCAAGGCUUUGACGGGUAGCCCGCCUGAGAUGGUGACCGGCCACAUUGGGACUGAGAUACGGCCCAGACUCCUACGGGAGGCAGCAGUGGGGAAUAUUGCACAAUGGGCGGAAGCCUGAUGCAGCAACGCCGCGUGCGGGAUGACGGCCUUCGGGUUGUAAACCGCUUUCGCCUGUGACGAAGCGUGAGUGACGGUAAUGGGUAAAGAAGCACCGGCUAACUACGUG